rnacentral:lncRNA from 1 species
UUCGACCUGUUCAGGCGCCUCCAUGUUCCUCCAUCGAUAGAGCAAUAGUAGUAUUAUUUAAGCAUAUACACAAGUAACACAAUUUAUUUAUUUAUUUUUCGGUUGAUAAUUGCCGGUGAUGAGAGAUAUUGGCCAUGAGCUGCCACAACAAAUUGCGCACCCACUGGGUAAAUCUACCCAUUGGGGUUGUUGAUGCAAGGAAGAAUGUGGCAUUAUGCUAAUCUGAGGCUUUUAAUUACGCAUAUUCGUAUACUAUUAUUAUAUAUCGUUUAGUCUUUUGGUAAGGAUGAUGUAAGUGCCAAAUUUUGUUUUUGAAUUUCUUGGAGUUGAAGAUAUUGACAUACUAAUAGUUCAUGUUUUAUAUAUUUGGGUGGAUUACUCCUUUUUUUCAUGCAUUUCAAGGUGUUUUUUUUAAUAUGUACUGUCUAUUUGAUUUCUCCAACUGUGAAAAAUAAAGCACAUAUGAGGUUCAACAUUAUAUUGCUGGCUGCUUGUGACCAUGGCAAAAUAUAAUCCUCUGCAGUUGAUCAAUUUAGUUUUGACUUCUGAGUUAGGAUAUGGAUGCUUGAAUUAUAAACUGUUCAAUCCAAUUUUGCAUACCUUUUUAAAACAAUAUGAAAUUCUCGAAUUGUUUCAGUGAUUUUAUAGGGUAUAAUCUCAUUGCACAACAUUUUCAACCCCUAGCAACAAGUAUUAUAUACAGCUUCCAUUGAAAUUUUAUAUUUUAUACGUUGAUUGGAUCUUGAAAAUCUGUUAAUAAUUAUUGCAUGAGAUGUAACAUUUUGUAGACUUGUGGUUGUGUCUUGGGUUGCUGAUGUAAGGAAGAAUAUACACACAUACGGGCAUUCGUGGGUGUAAAUAUGCAUAUGCGUCUACAAAUAGUUGAGUGAAUCUUGAAAACAGCUACUUCGGCUCUGAUUUUAGGGCUUUCAAACAACGAAUUGAGAGAGGAUAUUUUUGUACAAUAAUUUAUUUUUCUAAUUUGUUCUUUAGCAUCUGAAGUGUACUUUUUAUAAAGAAAUGAAAAAUAUUGUAUUUAAAUAUGCUAUGGGCAAGUCUGAAAAACCAUGUCACUUAUGAUUAUUAAUCAUAACACUCAAAUUCGGAUGGAGUCUAAUUCAUAAAAUUUUCAGUUAUUUAUGCGAGCAAGAUGAUUCCUAGAUCACAAAUAAGUUGUUGAAGCUCAAUGUUUUAUGGUCAUUCAAAUUCUUCAAGUAGGCAUAAUAUAUGAAGAGUUUGUUCUGAUCUUUUAUCAGUAUUUGGAAAUCAUUGGAUAUUAUGUGCUUUUUUAUAAGAAUGAGAAUACAUUUUGAUACCGAUACAAACUUGAUCAACUCAUGCACAUAUGUUAUUAUUUAUUAUUGCUGGUGAUGACAGAUAUUGGCCAUGAGCUACAACAACAAAUUGCGUACCCAUGGUAAAAAUUAUUUAUGGAGUUGUAGAUGCUACGAAGAAUGUGGCAAUAUGCUAAUCUGAGCCUUCAGUAUAUUUCCAGUAUAUGUAUGCAUCUAGUUGAAACAACUAAUUGUUCGAAAAAUGUUUCUUCUGAAUUAUGAUGAAUUUUUUAAAUACCUUGUAGUCUCAUUCUUAUUCUUCCAAGCAAGGCAAAAAGAUUGAAUUGACUUGCAAAAUUAUGAAUGUUUGGUGAAGGUGGCUGACUUAAAAGUUGAAUUUGAUACUUAACUUUCUGUUCACUGACAAUAUCUGAUCUGCGCUUGUAAAUAAAUCAUAUUUUAUGAUUUAAUCAUUUUUAAUUUUUUAUAUAUAAUUCCUAUAUCUUUUUCUAUUAUUUUGUAUUUUCUCUGUUGUCAUUUGAUAAUAUAUUUUCUAAUUUAUAUCUUCCUACUAUAAGCUAUAUCAAAUAUGAACGCAACGUGUAUCUUGCAUUUUUUUUGCUGUCUUGUGGCUUGAUGUUUAGAAAUGAUCAUAGGAAAUUGUUUGUACUCACUUCGUGUUUAUCAGUAUAUGAAUAGUAGUAGUCAAAACAUUCUUCUUGUUGAACUUUGUUUAUUUUUAAAAGUUUUCAUGUAACUUUAGCAUGAUCCAACAUAAUAAUCUUAUUUACCCAUUUUUCUGUGCUUUAGUUUUACGUACUGUUUAUUUAUGUGUUGAAUGAAGUGCAUAGAUUCUACAAAAUUAAACUCUGUAUGGAAUGUCUGGAUGCAGAUUGGUUUAGAACAUUGGCAAGAGCUGCUAUAACUUUUUGUGCUCUCGUGGUUGUGAUCUAAGGUUGUUGGUUCCAGGAAGAAUGUGCCAGUAUGCUGAUACACUGUUGUGAAAAGGAAAUAUGUAGUUUGUUUGUGCAUGUGAAUAGAUCUUUCUUAUGUCUGUAUUUCUUAGUGAAAAGCUAGUGUGCAUAGGUAUGAAUAUUCAAACGGCAUGGUUCAAAAAUAUGUCUGUGGCCUGCAUUCAUGCUUAGGGCAUUCACUUAUGUUUAUUUGGAUGUGUGUAAUAUUUUUUACCUGUUUGUGGUCCAAUGGGAACUCGAAGGAGAAGGUAUUCAGAUGUGUGAUUAAAAGUGCCUGUUUACUUUUAAUAUUCCCUUUGGUUGUGGGGAUGUGUUUACAGCAAAGGAAGUUUGGAUAUGCCGUGAUGCCAGAAGGAAAAGUUGGACAUACUGAUGAAGCUCUACCCCUUUGAAACCAGAACCAGCCUUCGAAAAGUGGUAGCAAGAUAAUGAAAAAUAGACAUCCUCAUGUCUGCAAAACUGGGAUAAGGAACAAGAGGCUGCUUAAUUAGCAGCAAGGCAGAGGCACUCUUUUUGGGUAAGCAGGAAGUUGGAUCCUAGAAUUGGUCUUUUUAUGAUUGACUAUGUUGUUAGAUCUUAAACCUGGUUUUGGUCUUGUACAGGACACCAAUAUUUUACAUGGUUUCUUUUCUCAAUCUUGAAAUUGUCUUUUCUUUUAGUUUAUGCUGUUAUCUUCUCAUUUUAUUUUAAUAAAAGCCUCUGUUUAUUUCUA